UACAGAGGGGGCAAGCGUUGUCCGGAAUUAUUGGGCGUAAAGAGCUCGUAGGCGGUUUGUCGCGUCUGCUGUGAAAACUCGAGGCUCAACCUCGGGCUUGCAGUGGGUACGGGCAGACUAGAGUGCGGUAGGGGUGACUGGAAUUCCUGGUGUAGCGGUGGAAUGCGCAGAUAUCAGGAGGAACACCGAUGGCGAAGGCAGGUCACUGGGCCGCAACUGACGCUGAGGAGCGAAAGCAUGGGGAGCGAACAGG
rnacentral:rRNA from 1 species